rnacentral:lncRNA from 1 species
AGACACCUGUUGCAUGUGCUCAUGCGGAACAUAAUCACCUGUGCCAUUGAGUUAGUGUGUGUGUGAAUUAUGCAUGUGUGUGCAUGUGUGUGUGUGGAAUAUGUGUGAGUAAGUGGACAGUGUGUGUGCUGGUGCAGGGGGUUCAGACUGGCAUUCAGAUGAGCACAAUACAAGAUAUUUAAUGCUCAAUGAUGAAUUGAUUAGAGAAAAAGGGAGUGUGUUUAACAGUAGAGAGUGUAGUAGAUGAUAGUAGUAGAUGAUAGCGGUAGGUGAUAGUGGUAGGUGAUAGUAGUAGGUGAUAGUAGUAGGUGAUAGUAGUAGGUGAUAGUAGUAGGCGAUAGUGGUAGGUGAUAGUAGUAGGUGAGAGUAGUAGGUGAUAGUAGUAGGUGAUAGUAGUAGCUUAUGUUAGUAGAUGAUAGUAGUAGAUGAUAGUAGUAGGUGAUGGUAGUAGAUGAUAGUAGUAGGUGAUGGUAGUAGAUGAUAGUAGUAGAUGACAGUAGUAGAUGAUAGUAGUAGGUGAUUGUAGUAGGUGAUAGCAGUAGAUUAUAGUAGUAGAGGAUAGUAGUAGUCGACAGUAGUUGGUGAUAGUAGUAGAUGAUAGUUGUAGGUGAUAGUGUUAGGUGAUUGUAGUAGAUGACAGUUGUAGAUGACAGUAGUAGAUGACAGUAGUAGAUGAUAGUAGUAGGUGAUAGUAGUAGGUGAUAGUAGUAGAUGAUAGUAUUAGGUGAUGGUAGUAGGUCAUGGUGGUAGAUGAUAGUGGUAGAUGAUAGUAGUAGGUGAUAUUGGUAGAUGAUAGUUGUAGGUGAAAGUAGUAGGUGAUAGUAGUAGGUGAGAGUAGUAGAUGAUAGUAGCAGAUGAUAGUAGUUGGUGAUAGUAGUAGAUGAAAGUAGUAGAUGAUAGUAGUAGAUGAUAUUAGCAGGUGGAAUUAGUAUUUGAUAGGAGUAGGUGAUAGUAGUAUUUGAUAGUAGCAAGUGAUUGUAGUAGGUGAUACUUGUAGGUGAUAGUAGUAGUUGAUAGUAGUAGGUGAUAGUAGUAGGUAAUAGUAGUAGGUGAAAAUAGUAGGUGAUAGUAGUAGGUGAUAGUAGCAGAUGAUAGUAGUAGGUGAUAGUAGUAGAUAAUAGUAGUAGAUGAUAUUUGUAGGUGAUAGUAACAGGUGAUAGUAGUAGGUGAUUGUUAUAGCAGUCAGUAGUAGGUGAUAGUAUUAGAUGAUAAUAGUAGAUGAUAGUAGUAGGUGAUAGUUGUAGCUUUCAGUAGUAGGUGAUAGUAGUAGAUGAUAGUAGUAGAUGAAAGUAGUAGGUGAUUGUAGUUGGUAAUAGAAUAGUAGGUGAUAGUAGUAGGUGAUAACAAUAUAUGAUAGUAGUAGGUGAUAGUAGUUUGUGAUAGUAAUAGAUGAAAGUAGUAGGUGAUAGUAGUUGAUGAUAGUAGUAGAUUCUAGUUGUAGUUGAAAAUAGUAAGUGAUAGUAGUAGAUGAUAGCAGUAGGUGAUAGUAGUUUGUGAUAGUAAUAGAUGAAAGUAGUAGGUGAUAGUAGUUGAUGAUAGUAGUAUAUGAUAGUAGUAGGUGAGAGUAGUAGAUGACAGUAGAAGGUGACAGUAGUAAAUUAUAGUAGUAGAUGAUAGCAGUAGGCUAUAGUAGUAGGCGAUAGUUAUAGGUGAAAGUUGUAGAUGAUUGUAGUAGGUGAUAGUAGCAGGUGAUAGUAGUAGGUGAUAGUUGUAGCUUUCAGUAGUAGGUGAUAGUAGUAGAUGAUAGUAGUAGAUGAUAGUAGUAGGUGAUAGUUGUAGUGAAAGUAGUAGGGGAUAGUAGUAGGUGAUAGUUGUAGGUGAUAGUUGUAGUGAAAGUAGUAGGGGAUAGUAGUAGGUGAUAGUAGUAGGUAAUAGUAAUAGAUGAUAGUUGUAGGUGAUAGUUGUAGUGAAAGUAGUAGGGGAUAGUAGUAGGUGAUAGUAGUAGGUAAUAGUAAUAGAUGAUAGUUGUAGGUGAAAAUAGUAGUUGAUAGUAGUAGGUGAUUAUAGUAUAUGAUAGUAGUAGGUGAUAGUAGUAGGUGAUAGUAGUUUGUGAUAGUAAUAGAUGAAUGUAGUAGGUGAUAGUAGUAGAUGAUAGUAGUAUAUGAUGGUAGUAGGUGAUAGUAGUAGAUGACAGUAGUAGAUGACAGUAGUAGAUGAUAGUAGUAGGUGAUAGUAGUAGAUGACAGUAGUAGAUGAAAGUAGUAGAUGAUAGUAGUAGGUGAUAGUAGUAGGUGAUAGUAGUAGGUGAUUGUAGUAGAUUAUGGUAGUAGAUGAUAGUAGUAGAUGACAGUAGUAGGUGAUAGUAGUAGGUGAUUGUAGUAGAUUAUGGUAGUAGAUGAUAGUAGUAGGUGAUAGUAGUAGGUGAUGGUAGUAGAUGAUAGUUGUAGGUGAUAAUAGUAGGUGAUAGUAGUAGGUGAUAGUAGUGGGUGAUAGUAGUGGGUGAUAGUAGUGGGUGAUUGUAGUAGGUGGUAUGAGUAGAUGAUACUAGUAGAUGAUAGUAGUAGGUGAUAGUAGUAGAUGAUAGUAGUAGAUGACAGUAGUAGAUGACAGUUGUAGAUGAAAGUAGUAGAUGAUAGUAGUAGGUUAUAGUAGUAGGUGAUAGUAGUAGGUUAUAGUAGUAGGUGAUAGUAGUAGGUGAUAGUAGUAGAUGAUAGUAGUAGAUGACAGUAGUAGAUGAAAGUAGUAGAUGAUAGUAGUAGGUGAUGGUAGUAGAUGAUAGUAGCAGAUGAUGGUAGUAGAUGAUAAGGAGAGAGGAGCUAUUAUUGAGAUAAAGACAGAAGGUUGUAGGAAAGAAGAGAAAGUGAAGAGGUGUAGGAGGAGAGGCAGAGUGUGGCUCUGUCAUGGUGAAUAUGAG